rnacentral:lncRNA from 1 species
GUCUCCAAGUUCUCCUCUGUACUGUCUGUAAUAGAGGCCAACCACUCAACCUGUGUUGAAAUAAAACUCAGUAUUUCUCAUAGAAUGGUGAUUAAGUUCUCGGCAGAUCUUCUACCUUGCUACUGAAGAGGCUGCUAUACACUUGAACCAGUAGAAACACCAAAAACCAUCCAGAGCAUUUGAAACUCUGAUUUGUCAGCAGUUUCUCAUGCUCAAGGAGCAUCAAUAGAAGAAAUAUGGCCUCAAGCAGCUGGAAACUGGUAACAUUAUGCUUUGGGGCAAGACUGGUUCCUGAAGCUGGCUGAGAAAGGAUUCCCCAUGCCACUGCCUCUGUCAUACCCUUAAGGGAAGAAACAGUUCUGCUGACCUUCCGUUGAACAUCUUUCCACAACAAGUAUUGGUUUUAGGCCUUCUACUUUUUCUGAAUAGUGUAUCAGCAACCCACAGGAGAACAGGAGAGUGUGACAGGGCUUUGCUGUAAAAGGAUCAUUGUUUCAAGAGGUAUCAAUACAAGACCAUCAGCUCUCACAGACUUAAAUAAUUUUUUAAAAAUAAAGCCUAAGGAACAGCAGAGCAGUGAAACCAAGUCUCCAGACCUCACCCUGUGCUGUUGUUUCAGGCCUGACAUCUGCACGUGACCACUGGUCUCAGCCUCCUCUCUGGAGGGUGCUUCCCCCAGCACAGAGCAACCUUUGGUUUUCUAUCCAUUUCUCAGAAAAGAAAAACAAUUAAAAAUCAGCUUGUGAACUGAGGUGGGAUGGUGAAGGUUGGGACUGUCCGUACAGACUGGAACUGGAGCUGAAGGAGAGAGCCAAGAGAAGAGGAACCUUCUGUCAAGGUAUGACACGGCAAUUCUUCUGUGAUACUGAGAAUCAGGAUCAUUCUCUGUGGUACCUCUGGGCUUGUCAAACUCUCUUGCACACACCACCAACCCAAUCUGCCAAACUGACACAUGACCCUACAAAGAGUGUUUUGGACACAAAGAAAUUGCUUAAGUGAAUUCUGUAUUCCUUUCCAAGAUCAAAUCCAGCACUGGUCUUAUCUUUGGAAGUUCCUUGGUCUUUUAAAUCUGAGAUUUCAACAUAUUUCCAGCAAGGAGUAUGCAUUGAAAAUCUUUUCAUACCUCUUACAAAAAUACAGAGAUGUAUUUCAACUGCUGUCAUCCCUCUUAGCCUCCUGCAGACCAUCUGACCCAUCAGCUUGGCUUGCUACUGCUGCAAAACUGGGGUUUAACUUCAGGAAUGAACUUAGAGAUUGCUGUGGUUGCUACCUACUCAUGAUGGAGAAAGCAGGGCUAAAAUGCAGCUUGAAGGGAUACAGAAAGCUGGAGAGCCUGGUGGUAAUAAUUAGCAUCCCUUGAGGAGUGACUCCAUGUUCCUGAGCUGACCCCCAAGGUAAACGGCACAUGCUUUGCUGGAAAUCCUCUGAAUCAAGCUUGUCUCUUUCGGUUGUGCAAAUGAACUUUGAUAGUGAAACACCUGUGAUUUUCAAGUUUGACGCAUCUAAUGAACCUCUGCCCCUUCAAAUUUGUACUGAACAUCUUCUCUGUGUAACCAGUGAGUAAGAGGAACAAAGUUCAAGUAUCUUCCCUCGUCCUAUUUCCUGACAAGAUAAAUAAAUAUUGCUAAGUUACUUUUUUGAGAGAAAAUACAAUACUCUCUGGCUUUCAAUGAGCAAUUGUGAAAUAAACUGUUUCCUCUGUUCUUCAAAAAAAAAACCAGUUGUAGUUGAUCAAAUAAGAAAUAUGAGGAGGACAAUAUAGUUCCUUCUGAGGUCGAAGAGAUUGUGCUGGGACUCAAAAACUCAGUAAAAUCAAACCCAGAACAAUCCCAAAUGAUGACAGCUGAAUGGAAUGGCAGGGAUUGUUCUGAAAGUCUGAAGUUCUACAGGAACUGAUGUUUCUGAGUCAUCCAAGAUCCCCUAUUGGUAAGCAUAAUAACAAAUUGGAGAAAAUGUCUAGAGGACCAUCCAUAAGAAAACAAAUCAUAGGGAACUUUGCCAAGAUGUAACUCAGACAGGCAAUUAAACAGGGAAAGCAUUCCUGCCUUAAUCUUACUGUGUGUUUGUUGGUCUUAAACUAGAAUUAGAACUUGUAGAUUUAUGACCUGUAUAUAAAAUAAAUAAAAAAUCCCUGCUAGAAGAGAGAUUCUUUUUUGCAUAAAAAGUGAUGUUUGACAGAGAUGAUCGUGCACUACAAGAUUUGACUUUCAAAUAUUCUCACAAAUCAAUUUCUUGAUGAACCCAUUUUACUAUUCUGAACCCCAAAGAAAAGCAUCCCCGGGUGAUAAAAACUGAAGCCCUGACCUGAAGUCCUGUUUCAGUUGGCAACUGGAAUUCAUUAAGCCAGGCCAAGUGUGGCAAUAGGAGCAUGGCAAAAAGAGUAUAAAUACCCUAAAUACCUUAAAAUCAAGCCAACCCUUCCCUUGCCCUUAGUCCCCAGAUCCCUAGAGAUCCUUCCCUCUAAAUUAGUGCUCCUCCUUUAGGCUCAAAACUCUUAAGUACCUGUAGAAUAUCUCCUGAACUACCUCCUGACCCAUUUUUUUGUAUAUUUUGUAAGCUUGAUUCACCUUUUGCUACUGAAACUCUGCCUUUUUUUUCAGGGCGAGAGUGACAAAGCCUGUGUUGGAAAGUUUCUCCAGUUUGUAAAAUUACUGACUUUUCACAGGUGCUUUUGCACUCAGGGGCAGGUAUCUCAAUCUGCU